AUUAAAACGCUGGCGGCAUGCCUUACACAUGCAAGUCGAACGGUAGCGCGGGGCAACCUGGCGACGAGUGGCGAACGGGUGAGUAAAGCAUCGGAACGUGCCCUGGAAUGGGGGAUAACGUAGCGAAAGUUACGCUAAUACCGCAUAUUCUGUGAGCAGGAAAGCAGGGGAUCGCAAGACCUUGCGUUCUGGGAGCGGCCGAUGUCGGAUUAGCUAGUUGGUGGGGUAAAGGCCUACCAAGGCGACGAUCCGUAGCGGGUCUGAGAGGAUGAUCCGCCACACUGGGACUGAGACACGGCCCAGACUCCUACGGGAGGCAGCAGUAGGGAAUAUUGGACAAUGGGGGCAACCCUGAUCCAGCCAUGCCGCGUGAGUGAAGAAGGCCCUCGGGUUGUAAAGCUCUUUUGUCCGGAAAGAAAGCAAUCGGUUAAUACCCGGUUGUUCUGACGGUACCGGAAGAAUAAGCACCGGCUAACUUCGUG
rnacentral:rRNA from 1 species